rnacentral:ncRNA from 4 species
UACAGAGGGUGCAAGCGUUAAUCGGAAUUACUGGGCGUAAAGCGAGCGUAGGUGGCUUGAUAAGUCAGAUGUGAAAGCCCCGGGCUUAACCUGGGAACGGCAUCUGAUACUGUUAGGCUAGAGUAGGUGAGAGGAAGGUAGAAUUCCAGGUGUAGCGGUGAAAUGCGUAGAGAUCUGGAGGAAUACCGAUGGCGAAGGCAGCCUUCUGGCAUCAUACUGACACUGAGGUUCGAAAGCGUGGGUAGCAAACAGG